GAUGAACGCUGACAGAAUGCUUAACACAUGCAAGUCAUUGGCGAAGCUGCGCUUGCGCAGUCUAGCCAAGGCGGACGGGUGAGUAACGCGUAAGGAACUUGCUCUGCAGACAGGGAUAACAGACGGAAAAGACUGAUAACACCAGGUAAUGUCAGGUUGGCGCACGUCGGCCGGAUGAAAGGAGGUGCUGCGGGAGAGCCUUGCGUCCUACUUGCUAGUUGGUGGGGUAACGGCCCACCAAGGCGAGCAUAGGUAGCCGGCCUGAGGGGGUGAACGGCCACAGGGGGUCUGAGAUACGGCCCAUACUCCUGCGAGGGGCAGCUGUGGGGAAUAGUGGACAAGGGGGGCGACCCUUGUCCAGCAACUCUGUGUGCAAGAAGAAGGUUUUCGGAUUAUAAAGUGCUUUCAGCAGGGAAGAAGAAAGUGACGGUACCUGCAGAAGAAGCGACGGCUAAAUACGUG
rnacentral:rRNA from 1 species